rnacentral:rRNA from 1 species
GACGAACGCUGGCGGCGUGCUUAACACAUGCAAGUCGAACGGAAAGGCCCUGCUUUUGUGGGGUGCUCGAGUGGCGAACGGGUGAGUAACACGUGAGUAACCUGCCCUUGACUUUGGGAUAACUUCAGGAAACUGUGGCUAAUACCUGAUAGGAGCUCCUGCUGCAUGGUGGGGGUUGGAAAGUUUCGGCGGUUGGGGAUGGACUCGCGGCUUAUCAGCUUGUUGGUGGGGUAGUGGCUUACCAAGGCUUUGACGGGUAGCCGGCCUGAGCGGGUGACCGGCCACAUGGGGACUGAGAUACGGCCCAGACUCCUACGGGAGGCAGCAGGGGGGAAUAUGGCACAAUGGGCGGAAGCCUGAUGCAGCAACGCCGCGUGCGGGAUGAAGGCCUUCGGGUUGUAAACCGCUUUCGCCUGUGACGAAGCGUGAGUGACGGUAAUGGGUAAAGAAGCACCGGCUAACUACGUG